GAUGAACGCUGGCGGCGUGCCUAAUACAUGCAAGUCGAGCGAACGGACGAGAAGCUUGCUUCUCUGAUGUUAGCGGCGGACGGGUGAGUAACACGUGGAUAACCUACCUAUAAGACUGGGAUAAAUUCGGGAAACCGGAGCUAAUACCGGAUGAUAUUUUGAACCGCAUGGUUCAAAAGUGAAAGACGGUCUUGCUGUCACUUAUAGAUGGAUCCGCGCUGCAUUAGCUAGUUGGUAAGGUAACGGCUUACCAAGGCAACGAUGCAUAGCCGACCUGAGAGGGUGAUCGGCCACACUGGAACUGAGACACGGUCCAGACUCCUACGGGAGGCAGCAGUAGGGAAUCUUCCGCAAUGGGCGAAAGCCUGACGGAGCAACGCCGCGUGAGUGAUGAAGGUCUUCGGAUCGUAAAACUCUGUUAUUAGGGAAGAACAUAUGUGUAAGUAACUGUGCACGUCUUGACGGUACCUAAUCAGAAAGCCACGGCUAACUACGUG
rnacentral:rRNA from 1 species